rnacentral:lncRNA from 1 species
AAAAGUGAAUGAUAUCUUUGUUGGAGACUCCACUCUAUAUACUAUAACCUUUUUUGUUUACUUCUCUUUUGCCCCUAAAGAAUAACUUUUAAUCUUUGUCGAGUUUAAGUCCUUUGGUUGAAACAAAAUAUCACUUAUCAUCAACAUCACCAUCAUAAGUUAUUAUUCAUAACCUGAUAACCAUCAUCAUCGAUAAUUAACUAACGUUAAUACGAUUCUCAUGUAUUUUGCGUACAU